UAGCAGGAUAGAGCAGUGGAAGCUCGUCAGUCUCCUUAGCUGAAGGUCGGAGGUUCGAUUCCUUCUCCUGCAAU
rnacentral:tRNA from 2 species